rnacentral:lncRNA from 1 species
AAAGUCUCCCUGGGUCUUCCUCUCUCUCUCUCUCUCGCUCUCUCUCUCUCUCUCUCUCUCUCACUCUCUCCCUCUCUCCCUCUCUCUUUCUGUCUGUCUGUCUGUCUGUCUGUCUCUGUGUCUCUCUUUUUCUUUGACCGCCUUUCCCCAUUUCUUUUUUUGGUUAGUCUCUGUGUCUCUUUGUAUAUUUCUCUCCUUCUGUCUGUCUCUGUCUGUCUGUCCAUCUGUCUCUCUUCUUCUCGUCCUCCAUCUCACUCCCACUGCCCCUAUCCAUUCCUCAGCGCCUUUAUGUUUGCAUGUUCCUUGUUGUGUUUUUGUAUUUGAUGCCAAAUCUCUGUGUUUCUCUGUGUCUCAGAUCCUGCUCAGGUUAAUGCCAAACUCUUACAGGACACCGAGGAGGUGAGGCAAAGCAUCAGUCAGUUGAACAACAAGAUGGGUACCCUGAACCAGGAAGUAUCCCAGCUCACCAAGGACCUGCACCACAUGAUGCACCUGCUUCAGACGCAGAUGGCCGUGCAGCACUACAGCGCCUCGAUCCCCUCCUACCCUUACGGCAUGCACAUGGUGCCCAACGCCGUGGGCAGCGGCGCCAACCUGGCCUACAGCGUCUGCCCCAGCAUGCACCUCCACCCGGAGCACCACGCCUCCGAUCUCCACCUCCACUACGAGCAUCCGGCAGCAGGGGCGGUGACGGCAGCGGUGACCUCAGAUCUUCAUGCUGUCCAUCACCAUGAGCGGGGAGCCACAGAGGGCCUCAGGCACCUAGGGGCCAACGCCUGGAACGCACAGGGUGCUGCUGCUGACCUGAACCAAUCAGGAGAAGGGCCCCUUCUUCCAUGC